AUGAUUAUACAAGAUACAUUGUAUGGCAGAAGAGAUAUUUUUGAGGAAACUGUCAACCGUAUAACUGAUGCCGGUGCCACACACACUGUUUCUGUUCUUCCUAUAGUUGGUCCAGGGGGUAUUGGAAAGACAACUUUCACCCAACAUCUGUAUAAUGAUGGCAGGACUAAAAAGCACUUUGAUGUUCCAGUCUGGGUAUGUGUAUCCGCUGAUUUCGAUGUGCUUAAGCUCACCAGGGAGAUCCUUGCCUGCAUACCUGCAACUCAAGGAGGAAGCAGCGGUGCUGCAAAUGAAACAACCAAUUUAGACCAGCUUCAGAAAUCCAUAGCGCAUCAUCUCAAAUCCAAGAGGUUUCUAAUUGUCUUGGAUGAUAUAUGGAAAUGUGACAGCCAGGAUCAGUGGAAAACCUUGUUAGCUCCCUUCACAAAGGGGGAAGCCAAAGGAAGCAUGCUACUUGUCACAACUCGAUUCCCAAAGGUAGCAGACAUGGUGAAAACAGUUGAUCCACUAGAGCUGCGAGGUUUGGAGCCUAAUGACUUCUUCACAUUCUUUGAAGCAUGUAUUUUUGGUGAAGACAACAAGCCUGAGCAUUACCAAGAUGAGUUGGCUGGUAUUGCACGAAAAAUUGCAAGCAAGCUAAAGGGUUCCCCGUUGGCAGCCAAAACAGUUGGUAGACUACUGCAUAAGCACCUUCCUCAGGAACAUUGGAAUGGAGUUCUUGAAAAGCAUCAGUCUUUAAAGCAUCAGUCUUGGAAUGGAGUUCUUGAAAAGCAUCAGUCUUGA
rnacentral:rRNA from 1 species